rnacentral:rRNA from 1 species
UAGUCCACACAGUAAACGAUGAAUACUCGCUGUUUGCGAUAUACAGUAAGCGGCCAAGCGAAAGCAUUAAGUAUUCCACCUGGGGAGUACGCCGGCAACGGUGAAACUCAAAGGAAUUGACGGGGGCCCGCACAAGCGGAGGAACAUGUGGUUUAAUUCGAUGAUACGCGAGGAACCUUACCCGGGCUUAAAUUGCAGUGGAAUGAUGUGGAAACAUGUCAGUGAGCAAUCACCGCUGUGA